GAGACCCACGCCAACAGUUGCCAGCAUGUCCUCCGGGAUGGUGGGGACACUGUUGGGACCGCCUCUGCUAAAGAGGAGGAAGGAAUGGGCAACGGUAGGUCAGCAUGCCCCGAAUUAUCCGGGCUACACGCGGGCUACAAUGGUCAGGACAAUGGGUAUCGACACCGAGAGGUGAAGGCAAUCUCUUAAACCUGUCCUUAGUUCGGAUUGUGGGCUGCAACUCGCCCACAUGAAGCUGGAAUCCGUAGUAAUCGCGUUUCAACAUAGCGCGGUGAAUAC
rnacentral:rRNA from 1 species